UCGAACGCCCCGCAAGGGGAGUGGCAGACGGGUGAGUAACGCGUGGGAACAUACCCUUUCCUGCGGAAUAGCUCCGGGAAACUGGAAUUAAUACCGCAUACGCCCUACGGGGGAAAGAUUUAUCGGGGAAGGAUUGGCCCGCGUUGGAUUAGCUAGUUGGUGGGGUAAAGGCCUACCAAGGCGACGAUCCAUAGCUGGUCUGAGAGGAUGAUCAGCCACAUUGGGACUGAGACACGGCCCAAACUCCUACGGGAGGCAGCAGUGGGGAAUAUUGGACAAUGGGCGCAAGCCUGAUCCAGCCAUGCCGCGUGAGUGAUGAAGGCCUUAGGGUUGUAAAGCUCUUUCACCGGAGAAGAUAAUGACGGUAUCCGGAG
rnacentral:rRNA from 1 species